GUGUGUCAGUGAGGAAGGUAAAUCCCAUCCCACCAGAAGGUGAUGCCAACAAGAAUGCUGAUUCCACCUGAGAAAAGCAAAUUGCUCUUCUGGAUAGAACUGGAGAUUCCAAAAGGGCCAUUCCUGAGCUCCAGGAUGACACAUCAAGAAAAGAACAGCAGUGCAGGUGAGAUUGCCGUAAGCACCGUGGAGUGAGCUGCUGUUGUCUGGCCCUGCUUGUUGCCUCAGGAAAGUCUGUGGAAAAACGCUGCCUGUACACUUGCAGCUAUAACACGAGACAACUGCAGCACUUUUUGGCUGGGCUUGCUGUUCUUCAUUCCUCGGCAGGGUGCUUUGCAUGGAGCUGUUGAUACACACACUUAAGGCAGAAAAAGGCCAAUUCACGACAUACUUGUGGCUGUUCAGAGGCAUUUGAUGUGGUUCAGUGAAGACACAGCUAAUUUAUGAAGCCCAAGUGCCGAUCAUGUCCAAGCAAGUGCAGUGUGUGCCUGCUAGAGCCUCACACCUCGCCUGUGCAA